UCUGAGUCAUUUCCUGUGACUACACGAUGCCUCAGAUAUUCUGAAUUGGGACUAGGAAAGACCUUUGGUGUCCGAGACAUUCAAUGAUUGCAUUUUAUUGCUUUUGUCCCCUCUUUUGGUAGUUCCAUUUCCAAUUUUGUAAUUAAGAAUUUAAUAUUUUGCUUUGCAGGAACAAUCACGUAUGCUUUCCUCCGAAAGCUGAGCUGUUGCGGAGCAGAAGCUCACCCGGUGCAGAGUGGUCUUUUCACACAAUCCUGGCUGUUUUGGAGACAGUGUUGAAAAGGGCUCACUCAAGACUGGCCUCAAAAGCCAGGCACAAACUGACGUGCAGGACUGAGAUCUGCAGCUUUACGCUGGUUCGUGCUGUGACCCGGGUCUGACGUCAACGGGGGCGAAGCAGCUCACCAGAACCGCGAUCAGGAAUGAUAAAAUUAAUGUUCUCAGCUCCAGAAGAACUGGGAGAUGCCCCAAGGCAGCCUUGCCAUAUUGGUCUUUCUCUUCAGAUGCACUUAUAUGGAAAAAAAUAGGCAAAUUAUACUAAAGAAGUUAUCUGAAAAAAAGAUCUCAACUCACUUUGGUGGUAUUGGGCAUAAAGCUUUUUUAUAGAGUUAAUAUAUCUGAGGAAACGUCUCAGACUGUCAGUAGAAGAGGAUGUAGAGAAAAUGGACUAAUUCCUCUGUGACUUGCUACCAGAGCAAGGGCAUCCACCCACCUCUUGUGGAGGAACUCAAAUACGGGACACUUGAACUGCUCAGUGUGAUCCCUAGCCAGUCAUUUAACUUAGCUGUUGUGAAGGAGAAUAGAGGGUCACAAAUAAAAAAAACAGUCUUCCAAAGAGGCUCCAAGCAUGGCCUGGGAACUAUAGACCAGUAUGUCUAACUUCCGUGCCAAAUAAAUCAGUAGAAACUGUAAUAAAGAACAGUAGUAGACGUGGUUAAGUUUGAUAUAUUUGGGAAGAGUCAACCUGACUUUUGCAAAGUGAACUCAUGACUCACAAAUCCAUUAAGAGUUCUUUGAAAGUGUAAACAAGCGUACAGGUGAGACUGGUCCAGUCGGUGUCAUAUACAUGGAUUUUUCCAAGAGCUUCCAACAAGACUCUCCUAUAAGUUUUAAGAUAAAUUAACUGCUCAUGGGGUAGAUGGCAGGGACCGAAUGCCCUAGGAAUCGUAACAGAUUGGAAGAGGGAGAUAAGAGCUGCUUCCACCGGUGCCAAAACGUGACUCUGCCUCUCUGCGCUGGCCUGGUCCCCCGAACGGUGCCGGUGCGGCCGGGCACCAGCUGGACCCAGAGCCUCUCCGGGGGAUGUCGGCUCCUGACGUGAC